rnacentral:rRNA from 1 species
GGGAAUAUUGCACAAUGGGGGAAACCCUGAUGCAGCAACGCCGCGUGGGUGAAGGAGCGUUUCGGCGCGUAAAGCCCUGUCAGCGGGGAAGAAGAAAGACGGUACCCGACCAAGAAGCCCCGGCUAACUACGUGCCAGCCGCCGCGGUAAUACGUAGGGGGCGAGCGUUAUCCGGAAUUACUGGGUGUAAAGGGAGCGUAGACGGCGAGGUAAGCCUGAAGUGGAAGCCCGCGGCCCAACCGCGGAACUGCUUUGGGAACUGUUUUGCUGGAGUAUGGGAGGGGUAAGCGGAAUUCCUGGUGUAGCGGUGAAAUGCGUAGAUAUUAGGAGGAACACCAGUGGCGAAGGCGGCUUACUGGACUGUAACUGACGUUGAGGCUCGAAAGCGUGGGGAGCAAACAG